UCCGACUAGUUCCGGGUUCGAGUUCCGGGCAACCCAUACGGA
rnacentral:tRNA from 1 species